UCAUAUCGUCUUCUUUCUUGUUCUUUUUUUUGUAACAUCUUACAUAAAAGAUUAAGAUAAUUUAGACUUUGUGAAACUACUUUUACAAUGAUCAGUUGCGAUGUGUGUUUGAGAAGUGUACGUGGAAAUACCAAACUAAAUUUGAAUGUAACAAAUUUUCGGAGCAUGACCACUAGUCUAGGUUUUUGGUUUGAAGUUUACGUUCACAGCACUUCAACUUAACAUUUCGAACAUUAUCAGUCCCUAUUUUGGAACUUUGCCCAGUGUGACUUUAGACACAAUUCGUUUAUGUUCAUGAAGUGUAGCUUGACGCCAUUUCUUAUCAAUUCCCGAGUCUUCCGGAUCAAUCGAGAGAUUAUAUUGUCAUAUAUACACACAUGUACACACGUUGCCCUCUGAUAAGAAUUGUUGGCUGAAGCAGUGUUGCGAAGUGCUUUACGGUUUAUGUUGUAGCCUAUUAUACACACUAGGUUACCUGUGUUACAUUUUUCUACAAUUCUACAUCAGUAACUGAUCUUUGCAUUUAUUAUCAACUACCAUUGCCCGUCACAUAUUGUUAUUCUUCAUUUAUUAUUUUGUUUUCCUUUUUUCUGACGUUGUUCUACGUGUAACUAUUUCAAGUUCGAUUUUUGGUUAGUGAUCAAUUUCAAACUUGUUUUUGAAACUUCAUGUGUUCUCAAUUAAAAGCGUAGUUACGUUAGUUCUACUACAGAUUACAAACAUUUCGUUCUCUCAACAUCAGUUUCUCUAUAGUUUCUAGCCCGAGUCAUCCUAUGCUGCAUAGAUAAGACUACUCGUUUCCACUUUUCUCUUCUUUUUUCUGCCCUGCCAACUUAACAAAAUCGCAAGGCGCAAAUAUUUGUGUUGUCCAGGCAAAAAUCAUAAAGAAGUCACAAGAGAGUUUUGCCUCCCGCUCACCGGAACAGACCAACAUGACCAAACUACAAAGAAACAAUAGAACUUGUGAACCGGAAACCCGGGGGGAGAAUCCGAAUUCCAUACAAGAACUCUUCUCCCUUUUUGUCUCGUCUUCUAAUAGCCAUUUAAAGUGUGCCGUAUUUGACCUCACUAAGGAAUGCGUUUCGUUGACGCUGACCACAGACACAAACCAUAGUUUCGAUGGAAUUACAACUUGUGUCUUCUAUUUCGUUUGCAAACUCCAAGACAUACCUAUAUAACUAAUUGCAAAUACACUUGUAGUUAUGAAAGCAAUCAAAUAUUUUAUUCAUAGCUCACAGAUCUUUCAUGCUCUUAACAUUGCAGCUGAAAGUAUUGUUGCAAAAUAAAUGAAGAUCAAAUAUAUACAUAUUUUUCGGAUAUAAAACCAAACAUUUCUCAGUGCUAAGGGUAAAAGUCAAUAUAUGCAUGCAUUGCCAUUCACAUGUAGUUUACAUGCUCUUGCAACCUUAUUAGGAGCAAUCGCAAAACAAGUUGAAGAGUGUGUUGCCAACGGACAAAAUGAUCAAAAGAACAAAACUACGGCGUCCAGAGGCGACCCCCGAGAGAGUUGUUGAUUGGGGGCAUGAGACCACCAAGGCUAGUGAUGAGUGUUCUUUGGUUUUAGUAGAGAACAUUGCCAUACUACGUGUUUUUCCACACAGCGUUUGAGGCUUCUUAGGACAGAGAACAGUAGAGAAGCGUGGAGAAAAGAAAAACAGAAGGCGGAAGAAAGACGCUUUUGAUUUCUUGGAUAAUUUAUUCUCGUAUUGCUUUUUCCUUGUAAUAUCGUCUGGUUUUUAUAUAAUAUUAAUUACUUAAAUUUUAUAUGCUUUAAUUUAAAAGUGGAAUAAAGCUAGGUGGGAAGUUGUUAAAAAUUACUCCCAUUGAGUCAAAAUGACCAAGUAUCAUAGUAAACCAUUUCAAAACAUUUUGGAUAUUUUUUUGUCUCAAAAGUGGUAAUUAUUCUGGUUUCCCACUCCUU
ensembl:lincRNA linc-142 ncRNA